GAUGAACGCUGGCGGCGUGCCUAAUACAUGCAAGUCGAGCGAACAGACGAGGAGCUUGCUCCUCUGACGUUAGCGGCGGACGGGUGAGUAACACGUGGAUAACCUACCUAUAAGACUGGGAUAACUUCGGGAAACCGGAGCUAAUACCGGAUAAUAUAUUGAACCGCAUGGUUCAAUAGUGAAAGACGGUUUUGCUGUCACUUAUAGAUGGAUCCGCGCCGCAUUAGCUAGUUGGUAAGGUAACGGCUUACCAAGGCAACGAUGCGUAGCCGACCUGAGAGGGUGAUCGGCCACACUGGAACUGAGACACGGUCCAGACCCCUACGGGAGGCAGCAGUAGGGAAUCUUCCGCAAUGGGCGAAAGCCUGACGGAGCAACGCCGCGUGAGUGAUGAAGGUCUUCGGAUCGUAAAACUCUGUUAUUAGGGAAGAACAAAUGUGUAAGUAACUAUGCACGUCUUGACGGUACCUAAUCAGAAAACCACGGCUAACUACGU
rnacentral:rRNA from 1 species